rnacentral:rRNA from 1 species
CCUACGGGUGGCAGCAGUGAGGAAUAUUGGUCAAUGGACGAGAGUCUGAACCAGCCAAGUAGCGUGAAGGAUGACUGCCCUAUGGGUUGUAAACUUCUUUUAUAUGGGAAUAAAAUGUUCCACGUGUGGGAUUUUGUAUGUACCAUAUGAAUAAAGAUCGGCUAACUCCGUGCCAGCAGCCGCGGUAAUACGGAGGCUCCGAGCGUUAUCCGGAUUUAUUGGGUUUAAAGGGAGCGUAGGUGGAUUGUUAAGUCAGUUGUGAAAGUUUGCGGCUCAACCGUAAAAUUGCAGUUGAAACUGGCAGUCUUGAGUACAGUAGAGGUGGGCGGAAUUCGUGGUGUAGCGGUGAAAUGCUUAGAUAUCACGAAGAACUCCGAUUGCGAAGGCAGUUCACUGGACUGCAACUGACACUGAGGCUCGAAAGUGUGGGUAUCAAACAGGAUUAGAUACCCUUGUAGUC